rnacentral:rRNA from 1 species
UACGUAGGUGGCAAGCGUUGUUCGGAAUUACUGGGCGUAAAGGGCUCGUAGGCGGCCAACUAAGUCAGACGUGAAAUCCCUCAGCUUAACUGGGGAACUGCGUCUGAUACUGGAUGGCUUGGAUCCGGGAGAGGGAUGCGGAAUUCCAGGUGUAGCGGUGAAAUGCGUAGAUAUCUGGAGGAACACCGGUGGCGAAGGCGGCAUCCUGGACCGGUAUUGACGCUGAGGAGCGAAAGCCAGGGGAGCAAACGGG